UCCCUGGUGGCCUAGUGGUUAAGGAUUCAGCAUUGUCACUACUAUGACUUAGGUUCAAUCCUUGGCCAGGGAA
rnacentral:tRNA from 1 species